rnacentral:lncRNA from 1 species
UAAUAUUUAUUGAUAAUUUACAAAUCUCAAUAAUUCACCUCUUAAACAGUUAGUAUAAUCUCACAUCUAUCUCUUUCUCAUUAAUCAGAAGUACAAUAUAAACCAUUAUUAGCAUCGCACUCUUUUACAUUCAUUGUUACAUUUAAGGAUGUCUUCGUGUCAAAUGUAUUAAUGAUGAUAAAAGUUAGAUUAAUAAAUGCAACAUAAAGGGUUUAAAAAGACACUUUACCUGUGAGGUAUCAAGUCCCAUGGGCCUCUCAACAUUUGUUAUAUUGGACCAGUUUUAUGGACGAAGGCCCAACAAUAUAUGUUAGAUACACAAUCAUCUUAUUUGCCAUGAGCAUGACCAUCCAUGUGAGUGUCCGUAUGGGAACAAAUAUUUUGGUAUACUAAGAAACGUAAUAAUAAUAAGACGUUUGACAUAUAAAAAGCCAAAAAAAUUGCAAGUUUGUCCCAUACGAAGAUUAAAAGAAGCAACCACUAGAACUUACUUGUAUGUUGUAUCAUAUACAAACCAAAAAAUAGUAGACGGGAGAAGAUGCUUUCAUACCUUUUGAAGAUUUUAGAAACCAUAAAGUUUUAUAAUUUCUUAUAGAGAUUAUCC